CGGAAGUGACGUCAGGCUCGCGGCGGCCUGGGAGCGGAGUGCGGCCGCGGGCUGUCAUGUCGGCUCUGACGCGGGUGGCGCCUUUCGUUCGGGGCGGAGGCCGGCUCCUCAGAAGCUGCCGCAAGCAGGCGGCGGGAAGCGGGGGCGUCCGUCAUGCGGGCGGCGGCGUGCACCUCCCGCCCAGCUACCGCCAGUUUCCCCAGCUGACCAGGUCCCAGGUGGUGCAGGCCGAGUUCUUCAGCGCGACCAUGUGGUUCUGGAUCCUCUGGCGGUUCUGGCAUGACUCGGACGAGGUGCUGGGUCACUUUCCAUAUCCGGAUCCUUCCCAGUGGACGGAUGAGGAGCUGGGCAUCCCUCCCGACGAUGAAGACUGAGGACAGACCCACCGCUGCCUGACGGUGGUGGGUGUGCUCUGCCUUCCUGUUGUUGUCAGAGCUGGUGAGAACUUUAAGAAGUAACAGAUUUCGUAUUGUCAAUUAAAGUGAUAAAUUAAAAUGGUUUGACCGAGAA